rnacentral:rRNA from 1 species
GUGGGGAAUAUUGGGCAAUGGGCGAAAGCCUGACCCAGCAACGCCGCGUGAAGGAAGAAGGUCUUCGGAUCGUAAACUUCUAUCCUUGGUGAAGAUAAUGACGGUAGCCGAGAAGGAAGCCCCGGCUAACUACGUGCCAGCAGCCGCGGUAAUACGUAGGGGGCAAGCGUUGUCCGGAAUGAUUGGGCGUAAAGGGCGCGUAGGCGGCCUGGUAAGUCUGGAGUGAAAGUCCUGCUUUUAAGGUGGGAAUUGCUUUGGAUACUGUCGGGCUUGAGUGCAGGAGAGGUAAGUGGAAUUCCCGGUGUAGCGGUGAAAUGCGUAGAGAUCGGGCGGAACACCAGUGGCGAAGGCGACUUACUGGACUGUAACUGACGCUGAGGCGCGAAAGUGUGGGGAGCAAACAGGAUUAGAAACCCGUGGUAGUCA